rnacentral:rRNA from 1 species
CGUUUAGGGGUAAACCUGAGAAACCCGAAAGGUCGAAGGGAGAAAUUCAUUCGUGUUUCGUUCGUAGGCAUCAAAUGGAUUGAUUUUAUUUUGUGACGGAUGAGAAUUUUUCGGAAUUCUUAUUUGCACCGUCCAUUUGUUUGUGAGCCGACGACGAAUGCGUGCACUUUUCUCCUGGUAGGACAUCGCGAUCCGUCGAGUAUCGGUUUAUGGCUUAACGGUGGAGAUCAUUUGUUUGUAUUUUUGCGAAUGCAAAUUGAAUGAACCCGUUUUUUCUAACCGAUUUGCUUAACGGUAUCAAAUAAGGUUGUGAUUUAAAAUUAUCGGUCGCUAUUUAAAAGCGUUCGACUUGUUGCAAGCGCACCAAUUGUUUAAUUGAAAAUCGGGCCUAGUACCGAUUUCGAUCUUUGGUGACUGUUGGCAAUAAUGUUCUUGAACGGGCCGUCGUCGAUAACAACACAUAAAACCAAUCAGCGAUGCUAUAGCUUUGGGUAAUUUCAGGACCCGUCUUGAAACACGGACCAAGGAGUCUAGCAUGUACGCAAGUCAUUGGGACUUUGUACUAAACCUAAAGGCAUAAUGAAAGUAAACGAUUUUUCUUUUGAAAAAUUAUGGAAAGACAAGUGUGUUCCUAUUUAUAGGACACAUUUUGCAUUUCCGGGGCGUCUCAUUCUCAUUGCGAGUAGAGGCGCACCAAGAGCGUACACGCUGGGACCCGAAAGAUGGUGAACUAUGCCUGGUCAGGAUGAAGUCAGGGGAAACCCUGAUGGAGGUCCGUAGCGAUUCUGACGUGCAAAUCGAUCGUCGGAACUGGGUAUAGGGGCGAAAGACUAAUCGAACCAUC